UAAGUAGAUAGAGGUGCGAUGUUAAUUAGUACUUUUACGAAGGUAAGCGCUAUGAAGUAAAAGGAAAGGGAAUAUCGCCGAAGUACACAGCUGAUGCUUUAAGGUUGUAUACUGGGGUUGCAUAGAAUAUGUGUAACACUGUCACAAAUUUAUUUUGUGGAGAGCUAUCAUUCAA
rfam:Clostridium botulinum A str. ATCC 3502 complete genome